rnacentral:rRNA from 1 species
AGUAAAGUGGCGGCACGGGUGAGUAACACGUGGAUAAUCUGCCUUUUUGUUGGGGGGAGUAAACCUGGGGAAAACCUGGGCUAAUACCGCAUAAGCUCGAGAGAGGAAAGCCGCAAGGCGCAGGAAGAGGAGUCCGCGGUCGAUUAGCUAGUUGGUAGGGUAAAAGCCUACCAAGGCCACGAUCGAUAGCCGGCCUGAGAGGGCACACGGCCACACUGGCACUGAAACACGGGCCAG